rnacentral:misc_RNA from 1 species
AAGUCGUAACAAGGUCUCCGUAGGUGAACCUGCGGAGGGAUCAUUAACACGUUUAUUUCACUAUAAACGUAUCUAUACCAAACAAAUAGAAAUCCGAGUAGAGAUGGAAACAUUGAUACUUAGUUCUUCUCCCUCAUUGUACGGAAAUGAUGACAAGCAAUUGUCCUUCUUUCCGUGUAGUGUGGCUAUUUCCUUUUGUUGACCCCUUUCCACCUUUUGAAGUUUGUACAUGACUUAUAUGUGAGUUUAUACUCUUACAUUGAUAUACUAAUGUUAAAAGCACAACUCUUAGCAACGGAUAUCUUGGUCCUC